CUACGGGGCGCAGCAGUGGGGAAUAUUGCACAAUGGGCGCAAGCCUGAUGCAGCAACGCCGCGUGAACGAAGAAGGUUUUCGGAUCGUAAAGUUCUUUUCUUGGGGAAGAAACCAUGACGGUACCCAAGGAAUAAGCACCGGCUAACUACGUGCCAGCAGCCGCGGUAAUACGUAGGGUGCAAGCGUUAUCCGGAAUCACUGGGCGUAAAGGGUGCGUAGGCGGUUUUACAAGUCAGAAGUGAAAGGCAAUGGCCCAACCAUUGUAAGCUUUUGAAACUGUAAGACUUGAAUGCAGGAGAGGUAAGUGGAAUUCCUAGUGUAGCGGUGAAAUGCGUAGAUAUUAGGAGGAACACCAGUGGCGAAGGCGACUUACUGGACUGUUAUUGACGCUGAGGCACGAAAGCGUGGGGAGCGAACAGGAUUAGAUACCCUCGUAGUC
rnacentral:rRNA from 1 species